CUGGGGCGGUAUACACAAAAGUUCUUAGCAUCGCUAAGUGCACUUAACGGCAAAGAAUCGUUAAGUUUUCUACUUAAAAUGGCGCUGGGCCGCUUAGCGCUGAAGCUGGAGCACUUAGCGGGCGGAAAAUUUAAGGCGGGGAAGGGGCUCCCUUAGCACCGUUAAAAAUGCAUAAGUAUUGCAACAUGGUGGAUUACAGCGGGAGGGAAGGCAUCACCUCCUAAUAUAUCUGCCUCGUCUAGACGAAUUGGAGGCGUGUAAUGAUUUGAAACUCAUCCUGAAAUAUCUGUGGACUGUGCUGACCGUGCUGAGAUGAGUGGUUCGGCGAGGCGGACCUUGGAAACACCUACAUGGCCAUCACGACUGAAGUGGUGUUCGCUGACAGGUAAAAUGCAGGUGCAACCUUCACAGACUGACAGAGAUUGAGUGAUGACAGACACUGGAGACCCUCCAAGCGAUGGCUGGUGACCGCCUGCCACCAUCCACAGGCUGUCACACAAGGAGCCCCGGGAGUAACCUUGCUGGAAGCCCCGCGGGCCGCAGUGUGUGGCUGGCGUUAUACAGCCCCCAGCCAUCGCCUGGAGGGCAUCCAGUGUCUGUUAUCACUCACCUUAGGUAGUCUGUGAAGGUCCAGUCAUCACUGGUGCACGUGUAUCUUACCUGUGAUCAACACCGGCAGCCACAGACUCCUGCCCAAGGAACGAACACAGUGAUCGUGAUGACAUUGACAACAACGAGCAAGUCCUCCUAGACCUAGAGUGACCUCAAGCUGGGCCAAACAUGAUGUGGAAGAAGAAAUCAGUUGUCUCCAUCAGUCGGGUUUGUGCCAUGGCAGCUUUCUCCAGCUGUCCGGCAGAGGUCCAGUCCAUGCCAUGGAGAAAUUCAGCCCCCAACAAUGAGAUGGCAUGCCAGAGAUGGAUCCGCAGCUUCUCCUCCAAUCAGUCAAUCCUUGCAAUGCCCUUUCUCUUUUCUCUUCUUCUGUACCACCAUGCUUACACAUAACUGAUCCAAGGUACUUAAACUCGUUAACCUCCUCCAUUUCUUCACCAUUCAAAAUUAUUUGGCAUUCUUUUUCACAUUCAAUGCCCACUCUAUAUGGGCAUACAAACUCUACAACCUCCCUUCUACUCCGCUCACAAACCAUCACUUUACUUUUGUUGACAUUUACUUUCAACUUUCUCCUUUUACAUACACUAUCAAAAACACUGACCAAAUUUUGUAAGUCACUUUCAUUUUCUGCAUUGAGCACCGUGUCAUCAGCAAAUAAGAUUGAAUUCAUCACCCACUUCCCUCCCUCCCUCAGCAUACAUUUUUACUUCAAUUUCCCCAACUUUGCCCUUCAUUUCUCAUAACACCAUCCAUAUAAAUAUUGAACAACCAUGGUGACAUGACACACCCCUGCCUUAGCCCACUUUCAUCUUAAAAUGUUCACUUGUUUCUCCAGUAAUUUUGACACAUGCAGAUGCAUCCUCAUAGAAAGACUUUAUUGCAUAAAGCAGUUUUCCUCCCACACCAUAUAUCUUUAAGACGUCCCACAAUGCCAGCCAAUCGACUCUGUCAUAAACUUUCUUUAGAAUAACUAGAUCCAUGAAGGCAGCAUAGUAUUUUUUCCUUUUGCUAAUAUUUUUUCUAAUAAAACACCAUCCUGAAGGAAAAUAUCUGAUCCACACAUCCUCUUCCCUUCCUGAAGUCCCCUUGUUCUUCACUGAUUUUCUCUUCUGUAAGUCUUUGCGCAGUCUCAAUUAGGACUUUUCCAUAUACCUUUCCAGGUAGCCUACACUCAGCAGACUUAUACCCCUACAACUCCCACCUCCCCUCUCCUGCCCUUCCCCUUGUAAACUGGGACCAUGAUGGCAU